rnacentral:rRNA from 1 species
UGUACACACCGCCCGUCACACCACGAGAGUUUGUAACACCCGAAGUCGGUGAGGUAACCUAUUAGGAGCCAGCCGCCUAAGGUGGGAUAGAUGAUUGGGGUGAAGUCGUAACAAGGUAGCCGUAUCGGAAGGUGCGGCUGGAUCACCUCCUUU